rnacentral:rRNA from 1 species
GAUGAUCGCUGGCGGCGUGCCUAAUACAUGCUUGUCGAGCGAACAGAUGAGGAGCUUUCUCCUCUGACGUUAGCGUCUGACGGGUGAGUAACACGUGGAUAACCUACCUAUAAUACUGUGAUAACUUCGGGAAACCUGAGCUAAUACCGGAUAAUAUAUUUAAUCGCAUGGUUCAAUAGUGAAAGACGGUUUUGCUGUCUCUUAUAUAUGGAUCCGCGCCGCAGUAGCUAGUUGGUAAGGUAACGGCUUACCAAGGCAACGAUGCGUAGCCGACCUGAGAGGGUGAACGGCAACACUGGAACAGAGACACGGUCCAGACUCCUACGGGAGGCAGCCAUAGGGAGUCUUCCGCAAUGGGCGAAAGCAUGACGGAGCAACGCAGCGUGAGUGAUGCAGGUCUUAGGAACGUAAACCUCUGUUAUUAGGGAAGAAAAAAUGUGUAAGUACGUAUGCACGUCUUGACGGUAACUAAUAGGAAAGCCAAGGGUAACUCCCAG